UACGUAGGGACCGAGCGUUGUCCGGAAUCAUUGGGCGUAAAGAGCGUGUAGGCGGCCACUUAAGUCCUGCGUGAAAUCUUGCGGCUCAACCGCAAGCGGUCGUGGGAAACUGGGUGGCUAGAGUGCGGGAGAGGAGAGUGGAAUUCCUGGUGUAGCGGUGGAAUGCGCAGAUAUCAGGAGGAACACCAAUAGCGAAGGCAGCUCGCUGGGACGGUAUUGACGCUGAGGCGCGAAAGCGUGGGGAGCAAACAGG
rnacentral:rRNA from 1 species